AUUGAACGCUGGCGGCAGGCUUAACACAUGCAAGUCGAGCGAGCGGCGGACGGGUGAGUAAUGUCUGGGAAACUGCCUGAUGGAGGGGGAUAACUACUGGAAACGGUAGCUAAUACCGCAUACCAUCAGAUGUGCCCAGAUGGGAUGAGCUAGUGGGUGAGGUAAAGGCUACCCUAGGCGACGACCCCUAGGUGGUCUGAGAGGAUGACCAGCCAAACUGGAACUGAGACACGGUCCAGACUCCUACGGGAGGCAGCAGUGGGGAAUAUUGCGCAAUGGGCGAAAGCCUGAUGCAGCCAUGCCGCGUGUGUGAAGAAGGCCUUCGGGUUGUAAAGCACUUUCAGCAAGGAGGCGUUACUCGCAGAGGAAGCACCGUCUAACUCCGUGCCAGCAGCCGCGGUAAUUC
rnacentral:rRNA from 1 species